CCUACGGGAGGCAGCAGUGAGGAAUAUUGGUCAAUGGGCGCGAGUCUGAACCAGCCAAGUAGCGUGAAGGAUGACUGCCCUACGGGUUGUAAACUUCUUUUAUACAGGAAUAAAGUGAGGCACGUGUGUCUUUUUGUAUGUAUCUUAUGAAUAAGGAUCGGCUAACUCCGUGCCAGCAGCCGCGGUAAUACGGAGGAUCCGAGCGUUAUCCGGAUUUAUUGGGUUUAAAGGGUGCGUAGGUGGGUGGUUAAGUCAGAUGUGAAAGUCUGCGGCUCAACCGUAAAAUUGCAAUUGAUACUGUCAGGCUUGAGUACAGUGGAGGUAGGCGGAAUGCGUGGUGUAGCGGUGAAAUGCUUAGAGAUCACACAGAACUCCGAUUGCGAAGGCAGCUUACUAAGCUGCCACUGACAUUGAGGCACGAAAGUGUGGGUAGCAAACAGGAUUAGAUACCCCAGUAGUC
rnacentral:rRNA from 1 species